AUGGAUAAACUCGACCUUCGUUAGAAACUUGCCAACUGAAGUGUUAUCAUUACUAAUGAACUCUUUUUACUUGAAGGACGUUUAUUGCUGUGAAAUAAUGAAGUGCUAAGUACCACCAGUUUCACAAAAGUGCAAUGGAGAGACGAGAGCAUGAUUCUCCAGGGGUGUGUGUUUUCGGAGGAACCUUAUAAUGGAUUGUGUAGCAGCAUGGAAGAGAGGCCAGGACUAGGAUUCCAUUUCCCUACCAUAGUCUUUGGCAUCCACUACAUACUGCUGGAUUACUUCCGAGGCAUUCAACUUCGUGGAUUUAUAUCGAGCAAGCAGGCGCUUGAUAACUUUGAGGCUAUGCGCAGUGGCAUCAUGGUAAUGGUAUUGCUAGAUGCAUCUUAUAAACUUUUCACUGGUUAUAAGCGAUUCGGAGUGUGGAGGUUGGGUAACUAGUGCCAGAGUUACCUAGAUAUCGGGGCAGCAUCAAGUGUCGUUAAUAUUAAUCUAUAUUCUGCAUAAUAUUAUGCCUUAAAUUUUCUUUAUGUUCAAUAAUAAAUUCAAUGUUCACUU